ensembl:lncRNA
AGAAGUUAAAAGAUGUAAUGAAGCAAAUAAAAGAUGUAAUAGUUAUGACAGUACUGAUAUAUGUGUUGAUUUAUAUGAUGAAGAAUCAUGGGAUGAUGAAAAUCCUAAAAUGAAAGUGAAAAAAAAUAAUAUAACAUUACCCCCUAAAAAAAAUAAAAAUAUAGCACUACCAGAUUCGAAAAAGAAUAAUGUAGACUUAAAAAAAAAUACCCGAACAAUCAACCUAAACAAAAAUACUAAUACAAUAAAAAAUUUGAAUACUAAGAAAAAUAACGUUCAAAAAAAAGAAUCUAAUGCUACACUAACUAAUGCUAUAUUAACAAAAGAAGACAAUUAUAAUAAUGAUAAACUGAAAGUGUUAGGAAAUGAACUACAUAAACAGAUAAGUAUGUUGGAAAAAGAAAAAGAAAAAGUAAAAAAAUUGGAAUAUGAAUUAAUUGCGAAAAGUGCUGAAAUUGAAUUGGAACGAGAAGAAAUGAAAAAUAAAUUAGAAGAAGAAAAAAAAGAAUUUCUUAAAAGGUAAAAAAAAAAAAAAAAAAAAUGGAAUAGAGAAAAAAAAAAAAUAGAAAAUGAAAUAGAAAAACAAAAAAAUUUAAAUAUGAAUAAAAGAAAAUUAACAAACGAAAUAGCAAUGUUUAAAAAUGAAAUAAAAUUAUUACAAAAUAAAAUGAACAGUGAAAAAAAACAACACAAAUUAAUAGUAGAAAAAAUGAAAAAACAAAUAGAUGAUUUAUCUAUAUUAAAUGAAAAAUUAAAAACUGAGUUAAAAUUAUCAGAUGAAUAUAGAGAUAAAUUAGAAACUUAUCAACAAAAAACUAUAAGUACAUUAGCACAAAAUAUGACAGAAAUAAGUAAAACAAACACAAAAAAUAAUUUUGAUUUUAUGCAAAAUGGACAUAACUACGACAAUUUAUUGGAUCACCAUAAUGAUGGAGGUGGUAUUAACGAUAGAGGUGGUACUAACGAUAGAGGUGGUACUAACGAUAGAGGUGGUACUAACGAUGGAGGUAGUAUUAAUUCCUCUAUUGACAGUGACAAUUUAAAAAAAAAAAACAAGUUGCUAAAACAAAUAAGGGGAAAAAAUAAAUACACUACAGGUACAGGUACGGGUACGGGGAAUGCUAAUAAUAAAUAUAAUGAACAACGAUAUUUAGAAGAAACAGGAAUAUAUGACAAAAUGAACGAAUCUGAAUGUUCAAACGAUUUAGAAGAAAUAAUAAAUGAUAAAAAUGGUAACAUUUUAAACGAAUAUGAUAUUAUAUAUAAUACUUCUAACAGUGAUAACGAACACUAUCCAAAAAAUAAUACUUUACGCAAAAAAAACAGAUUUAUGCACAAUGUUAUGAAUAAUAAUAUAAAAAAUAAAGAAAAAAAAAAAAUCACGCUUAAUAAUUUAUUUGUGAAUAAUAAAAAAAAAGAAACAAAUCUGGAUGUUAUGGAAAAAGAAAAGAAAAAAGAAGAAGAAAUUAAUCAAAAUUUGAAUAAAAUGAAAUUAAUUAUUGAAAAAAAUAAAAACAGACUAAAAAGUGAAAAUAUAAAUAAUAAUAAUGUCAGGAGAGAUGAAGUUAACAGACGUAAUGUUAUCAGUGGUAAGGGCAAUAGUGUUGCCCCCACUAGUACCAAUACAAAUAAUAAAGAAAACAAUUCGUACAAUUUAUUUGGUAAGGAUUGGAAUUUUCUCAUACAUUUUAAUUUUGAUGAAUUAUUUAACACUUGCGAAGAUGUUAUUAAAUCUAUUUUUACGCCAUCAAAGAAAUUAAAAUAUAGACAAGCGUUUAUCGAUGGAAAAGUAGAAACCUUAUUUGAAGAUGGGAUAAAAAUAAUUGAAAAAAAUAAAAAUAAAAAAAUCAUGAAUACAGAAAACUUAGUUAUUUAUCUUUACCCAAAUAGGGAUUACAAGGCACAGUUACCUAAUUC